rnacentral:rRNA from 1 species
GGGAUUAGAUACCCCACUAUGCUUAACCGUAAACUUUAACUUACACCCAAAUCGCCCGGGAACUACGAGCAAUGCUUAAAACCCAAAGGACUUGACGGUGCCCCAUUCCACCUAGAGGAGCCUGUCCUAUAAUCGAUAACCCCCGUUUAACCUCACCACUCUUCGCUUGUCAGUCUGUAUACCUCCGUCGUCAGUUUACCACGUGAGCGAUCUCAGUAAGCAAAAAGGCCUUAUUCACCAAAACGUCAGGUCAAGGUGCAGCUAAUAGAGUGGGAAGAGAUGGGCUACACUCUCUAAUAUAGAAAAUACGAAAAACUACCGAUGAAACUCGAGUUAGAAGGCGGAUUUAGCAGUAAAAUGAGACAAAAGCGCUCAUUUAAACACGGCCCUGGGGUGUGUACACACCGCCCGUCACCCUCUUCGAAACCUAAAGAAUAGUAUAUAACACCCUAUCACCCAUAAAGAAGAGGCAAGUCGUAACAUGGUAAGCUUACCGGAAGGUGUGCUUGGAAA